GGAUGUGAGGGCAAUCUGGCUGCGACAUCUGUCACCCCAUUGAUCGCCAGGGUUGAUUCAGCUGAUCUGGCUGGCUAGGCGGGUGUCCCCUUCCUCCCUCACUGCUCCAUGUACGUCCCUCCCGAAGCUGCGCGCUCGGUCGAAGAGGACGACCAUCCCGGACCGUUCUUCAGUCAAGGGUAUACGAGUAGCUGCACUCCCCUGCUAGAACCUCCAAACAAGCUCUCAAGAGUUAUAAUUUAAUGAAAUGCAUUUUCUAUACUGUUAAAUACCUAUGUUGGCCAAGUGUUCCCCUAGGGGGGCCUAUAAAA
rnacentral:snRNA from 1 species